rnacentral:ncRNA from 2 species
AUAGCGUGCCAUCGCCGUGGUGUUCGGGAAACCGGUCUGAGUCCGGUGCGGCCCUCGCCACUGUUGCCGCGGAGUUCCGCGGCCCUCGCUGACCGGCUUUCGCCAGCGGUCAGGGCCACUGGGCGGGCUGGGAGAGCCGCUCGGGAAGGUCGGUCGCGGCGUGUUGAUGCGGAAGCCAGGAGACCGGCCACGGCGCGACAUGUUCC